AAAACUAUAGUAUACGUUUUACAUUUCAGUUACAAUGAAAAGAAUUAUUAGUUUUU
rnacentral:tRNA from 1 species